GAUGAACGCUGGCGGCGUGCCUAAUACAUGCAAGUCGAGCGAACAGACGAGGAGCUUGCUCCUUCGACGUUAGCGGCGGACGGGUGAGUAACACGUAGGUAACCUACCUAUAAGACUGGGAUAACUUCGGGAAACCGGAGCUAAUACCGGAUAAUAUUUCGAACCGCAUGGUUCGAUAGUGAAAGAUGGCUUUGCUAUCACUUAUAGAUGGACCUGCGCCGUAUUAGCUAGUUGGUAAGGUAACGGCUUACCAAGGCAACGAUACGUAGCCGACCUGAGAGGGUGAUCGGCCACACUGGAACUGAGACACGGUCCAGACUCCUACGGGAGGCAGCAGUAGGGAAUCUUCCGCAAUGGGCGAAAGCCCGACGGAGCAACGCCGCGUGAGUGAUGAAGGUCUUCGGAUCGUAAAACUCUGUUAUUAGGGAAGAACAAACGUGUAAGUAACUGUGCACGUCUUGACGGUACCUAAUCAGAAAGCCACGGCUAACUACGUG
rnacentral:rRNA from 1 species